rnacentral:rRNA from 1 species
GACGAACGCUGGCGGCGUGCCUAAUACAUGCAAGUUGAGCGAUGAAGCUUUGUUCUUGCACCAAUUUGAAGAGCAGCGCACGGGUGAGUCACGCGUGUAGCAUCUGCCUUUGAUCGGGGGACAACCUUUGGACACGAAUUCUAAUACCGCAUAACAACUUUAAACAUAAUUUUUAAGUUUGAAAUAUGCAAUUGCAUCACUCAAUGAUGAUCCCGCGUUGUAUUAGUUAGUUGGUGAGGUAAAGGCUCACCAAGGCGAUGAUACAUAGCCGACCUGAGAGGGUGGACAGCCACAUUGGGAGUGAGACACGGCACAAACUGCUACGGGAGGGAGCAGGAGGGAAACGUCGGGAAUGGGGGAAAGUCUGACCGAGAAACGCGGAGGGAGUGAAGAAGGGUGUCGGAUCGUAAAACUCUGUUGGUAGGGAAGAAAGAGGGUGAGAGUGGAAAGCUCAGCAAGUGACGGUAACGACCCAGAAAGGAACGGCUAACUACGUG